rnacentral:lncRNA from 1 species
UUGUGGACAUUUUUGACACAUGGACACAUCAGGAUAAUUACCAGCUAGGUGCUGCUUCAACCUAGUCACCCCUCCUCUUUUGAACUCUGUGUUGCACCAUUUGCAUCUCCAAAGAUGUCGAGCCGAGAGCAUCUUGCCAUGAUCCCAAUUGAUGUCAUGCUCUGGAUCUUUCUUCUUACUCAUUUCUGCAGGAAUAACAAAAUACGGUA